rnacentral:lncRNA from 1 species
GAUUCUUAGAUUAUAACACUUUAAGCAUGAAGUCGUAUUCUCAACAUACUAAAACAUUUCUCACCCACUUGGUAUUACAACUUAAGUAGCCUUUCGGGAGAGAUUUCAUUUUGCAGUCGAAAUAAACAAAACCUGUUGGCACUUAACUCACAAAUAUUUAAAGCUCGUUUGAUAAAAAAUUUAUUUUUCCGUUUUUCUUUUGUGGUUAGAUUGAAGGAAAAUUUGUGAAGCAACUAAGGUGUAGAUAAAAAGUAUCCGAAAAUCAUAAUUAGAACCGUUUAUUCUUUUUAUCGUUAUUUAAAGAUCUUAUAUGCCAAAAAUAUUAUUCAAUUUGAGGAUAACGUAAAUAAACAACGAAGAUAUUACUCGUGACCAAAACCAUUGAUCAUGUAUAGAUGAUUAAACAAUCUCUAAAUUGAAUAUUUUUUUGCAGAUAAUCUCCAUAAGCACUAGUGCUCUAAUACUAAUUACUAAUAGUCAUUCGUGGACUAAUCAUGUUCGCCUUUUAGGUUGUUGUCCCUUAAUUACUAAUAGUCAUUCGCGGACUAAUUACUAAUAGAUAUUCAAACAACAAAGAUUCAUUAAAAGUGAUUAGGAGUAGUAAUAAGUCCUUCCCUGAGAGAACAUCAGCAUUAUUUUUCCCUAUAGCAUUCAAGGUUCAAUAAAUUAAUAGAAGGAGGUUAGUCGACAUAAUCGAUGGUUAGACUGCGAAACGAAAAACUCUAGGUGUGACAACAACUACAUAAUGAAGAAUGUAAAAGUGGUAUCAUAUGGAAUAGACAAACAACUAAAAAUUUGAGUUUUUCCCCUUAAACGAACAUUUUCUUACUUUUAACCCGUCUUAUUUCUUUUUCUAGAGUUAACUUAAUAAUUAGUAUCAAUCUGUUACUU